rnacentral:rRNA from 1 species
GAUGAACGCUGGCGGCGUGCUUAACACAUGCAAGUCGAACGGUGAAGCAGGAGCUUGCUCUUGUGGAUCAGUGGCGAACGGGUGAGUAACACGUGAGCAACCUGCCCCUGACUCUGGGAUAAGCGCUGGAAACGGCGUCUAAUACUGGAUAUGUGAUGUGACCGCAUGGCCUGCAUCUGGAACGAAUUUCGGUUGGGGAUGGGCUCGCGGCCUAUCAGCUUGUUGGUGAGGUAAUGGCUCACCAAGGCGUCGACGGGUAGCCGGCCUGAGAGGGUGACCGGCCACACUGGGACUGAGACACGGCCCAGACUCCUACGGGAGGCAGCAGUGGGGAAUAUUGCACAAUGGGCGGAAGCCUGAUGCAGCAACGCCGCGUGAGGGAUGACGGCCUUCGGGUUGUAAACCUCUUUAGCAGGGAAGAGGCGAAAGUGACGGUACCUGCAGAAAAAGCACCGGCUAACUACGUGCCAGCCGCCGCCGUAA